GAUGAAGAACGUAGCGAAAUGCGAUAAGUAAUGUGAAUUGCAGAAUUCAGUGAAUCAUCAAAUCUUUGAACGCACAUUGCGCCCGCCAGUAUUCUGGCGGGCAUGCCUGUUCGAGCGUCAUUACAACCCUCAGGCCCCCGGGCCUGGCGUUGGGGAUCGGCGGAGCCCCCCGUGGGCACACGCCGUCCCCCAAAUGCAGUGGCGGUCCCGCCGCAGCUUCCAUCGCGUAGUAGCUAACACCUCGCGACUGGAGAGCGGCGCGGCCACGCCGUAAAACACCCAACUCUUCUGAAGUUGACCUCGAAUCAGGUAGGAAUACCCGCUGAACUUAAGCAUAUCAAUAAGCGGAGGA
rnacentral:misc_RNA from 1 species